AACAAGGCGUACCUGCGGACCUGCGGAGGGAUCAUUACAAAUAUUCGCUGCGCGCCUAGGAGGCAACUCCCUGGCGACCGGCAAAAACCCAGUGAACUUAACCUUAUGUUGCCUCGGUAGGGAUCUCUCCCUCCCUUCUGGGAGGGACUGCCCGCCAAAGGACCUAAAAAAACUCUUUACCCUUUGAGAUAUAUCUGAUUAAAUUUAUACAAAUGUUAUAAAACUUUCAGCAAUGGAUCU
rnacentral:misc_RNA from 1 species